AGAAGAGUGGCUGAGGGGUUUAAAGCGAAGAUCUGCUAAAUCUUUAUAUAGAAAUAAACUAUAUCGUGGGUUCGAAUCCCACUUCUUCUGA
rnacentral:tRNA from 1 species